CUAAGGCUGAUGGCGACCGGCGCACGGGUGAGUAACACGUAUCCAACCUGCCGAUAACUCGGGGAUAGCCUUUCGAAAGAAAGAUUAAUAUCCGAUAGUAUAUUAAAACCGCAUGGUUUUACUAUUAAAGAAUUUCGGUUAUCGAUGGGGAUGCGUUCCAUUAGUUUGUUGGCGGGGUAACGGCCCACCAAGACUACGAUGGAUAGGGGUUCUGAGAGGAAGGUCCCCCACAUUGGAACUGAGACACGGUCCAA
rnacentral:rRNA from 1 species